AAUAAAGUACAAUUUUAUUAAAGAUACGUCAAGACAUAAAGAUACAACAGAGCCAAAAAGAGGCUCCACGGCUAUAAAGGAGGAGAAGAUAUGUACUGUACUAGUCAGGAAUUGGCUAGAGGGAUAGAAGUGGGAGUAGGGAGUGCAAUACGUCAGUGUCUUGGACAAGUCCAGUAUCCACUGCAUAUAGCAAAUAAUGUGACCAUGAUGGUUAAGCAAGGAAACUAUAAAGAAACUCCUCAGUAGCUUGCACCAUCAAUAUACAAGGUCAAAUAAGAAAAUGCAGGGAAUAGAGACAAUGUGUCUAUUGGGUGUAAAAGACUGUUUCCCUGUGUAACAAUAUGUCCAACAAUAUAUAUGUGGACUAUUACAGAUUAUGAUCUGUUAGUUACACAUAAAUGAAAGAAGGAAACAUUCAUCAACCUUCUUGUAUCUAUUUUAGUAGUAGUUCGACUUCAUGGUCGCUAACUAAAGAAAUGUAUUUAAAAAGAAGGUUUGAUGAAAAAAGAAAACAAUGGUUCUAUACCCUAUGCCUCCAAAAAUCUCCCAGUACUCCCCUAAUAAAGUUACCUAGCUCCCUCUAUAAGCGUCCCUAAUAGAAUAUAUCGUUGCUUAAUAAUCCCCCAUAAUAAUCUGAAAUCAAAUCACCAUAAAUGCUGAUAAACUUGUGCAGUGAAAAAAAAUUAAAAGCAAAAGUAAACCGAUGCACGUUUCAGCGCUACUAUAGGUCCUUCGUCCGGGGCGUUCCAAAUUAAAAGCUUUAGACAGUAUACAGUGUCUUUAAAUCUUGCAAUAUUUCACACAGGAUCUGAAAUGUUAGCAUAAAAACAACAUUUACAUUUUUCUCACAUACAAUAGGUGUGACAAAAUAUAUAUAAAUAAAAAUUGGUCAAAUACUUUGUAAGGUCCCUAAAGGCACCUGAAUGUUGUAACAAUGCCCACACACAAUAAAUACAGUAAAAUCAUAUAUUUCUAUAAUAAAGGUAUUUAAAACUGCUAUAGCACUCUUUAUCAGUCUCGGCUAAUGUAAUGCUGAUGUUGAAUGGUAUAGACCAUUCACUUAUUUCCCCUGCCCCCCUCACUGUAAGAAUGCAAUCACCCAGUAAAACUUCCUGUAUCUAUUUGAUUGUGAGCUUUCAUUUUCAGCAACUUUGCAUUCAUUAUAUCAGUGACUAGUGUCUUAUGGUAGAGAAGUUUGUUCCUCUACACUAGGCUGGUAAUUAUAACUAGAGUAUAAAUGAGGGUGGGUAAGGCUUU